rnacentral:rRNA from 1 species
CACCGGAGCCACAAGUGGCAAUCACGUUUAUUGGGCCUAAAGCGUCCGUAGCCGAUCCAUUAACUCUUUUGUGAAAUUGUUUGACUUAAUCAAACAGAUUGCAAAAGAAACUGAUAGGUUAGAGACCGGGAAGAGACAGAGGUAUUCCUUGGGAAGCGGUAAAAUGCUUUAAUCCUUGGAGGACCACCAAUGGCGAAGGCAUCUGUCUAGAACGGGUUUGACGGUGAGGGACGAAAGCUAGGAGAACGAUCGGGAUUAGAUACCCCAGUA